UAACCUGCCUCUUAGCGGGGGAUAACUAUUGGAAACGAUAGCUAAUACCGCAUAAAAGUCGACAUCGCAUGAUGUUGACUUGAAAGGUGCAAUUGCAUCACUAAGAGAUGGACCUGCGUUGUAUUAGCUAGUUGGUGAGGUAACGGCUCACCAAGGCGACGAUACAUAGCCGACCUGAGAGGGUGAUCGGCCACACUGGGACUGAGACACGGCCCAG
rnacentral:rRNA from 1 species